rnacentral:rRNA from 1 species
UACGUAGGGUGCGAGCGUUAAUCGGAAUUACUGGGCGUAAAGGGUGUGCAGGCGGCUGAGUAAGACAGAUGUGAAAUCCCCGGGCUUAACCUGGGAACCGCAUAUGUGACUGCUUGGCUAGAGUGCGUCAGAGGGAGGUGGAAUUCCACGUGUAGCAGUGAAAUGCGUAGAUAUGUGGAAGAACACCGAUGGCGAAGGCAGCCUCCUGGGACGCAACUGACGCUGAGGCUCGAAAGCAUGGGUAGCGAACAGG